rnacentral:rRNA from 1 species
UACGGGGGGGGCAAGCGUUGUUCGGAAUUACUGGGCGUAAAGGGUUUGUAGGUGGUCUGUUAAGUCAGACGUGAAAUCCCUCAGCUUAACCGGGGAACUGCGUCUGAUACUGGAUGGCUUGAGUUCGGGAGAGGGAUGCGGAAUUCCAGGUGUAGCGGUGAAAUGCGUAGAGAUCCGGAGGAACACCAGUGGCGAAGGCGACACGCUGGGCCGUACCUGACACUGAUGCGCGACAGCAUGGGGAGCAAACAGG